rnacentral:rRNA from 1 species
UGGGGAAUAUUGGACAAUGGGCGCAAGCCUGAUCCAGCCAUGCCGCGUGAGUGAUGAAGGCCUUAGGGUUGUAAAGCUCUUUCGCUCGCGACGAUGAUGACGGUAGCGAGAGAAGAAGCCCCGGCUAACUUCGUGCCAGCAGCCGCGGUAAUACGAAGGGGGCUAGCGUUGUUCGGAAUUACUGGGCGUAAAGCGCACGCAGGCGGCGAUCCAAGUCAGAAGUGAAAGCCCUGGGCUCAACCCGGGAAUUGCUUUUGAUACUGGGUUGCUGGAAUCACGGAGAGGGUAGGGGAAUUCCGAGUGUAGAGGUGAAAUUCGUAGAUAUUCGGAAGAACACCAGUGGCGAAGGCGCCUACCUGGCCGUCGAUUGACGCUCAUGUGCGAAAGCGUGGGGAGCAAA